UCCAAAGGAAAAGCAAAAUUUACUUUCAUCAGAGAACAUAACUUUGGACCACUCAGCAGCAAUCCAGUCCCUUUUGUCUUUAGCCCAGGCGAGACGCUUCUGACGCUGUCUGUUGUUCAAGAGUGACUUGACACAAGAAAUGCGACAGCUGAAACCCAUGUCUGUCAUAUGUCUGUGCCAAGUGGUUCUUGAAGCACUGACUCCAGCUGCAGUCCACUCUUUGUGAAUCUCCCCCCAAUUUUUGAAUGGGUUUUGUUUCACAAUGCUCUCCAGGGUGCGGUUAUCCCUGAAAAAAGUGCUUGUACACUUUUUCCUACCACAUCUUUUCCUUCCCUUCGCCUUUUUAUUAAUAUGAUUGGACACAGAGCUCUGUGAACAGCCAGCCUCUUUUGCCAAGACCUUUUGUGUCAUCUGUCAAGUCAGCAGACUUCCCCAUGAUUGUGUAGCAUACAGAACUAGACUGAGAGACCAUUGAAAGGCCUUUGCAGGUGUUUUGAGUUAAUUAGCUGAUUAGCGUGUGGCACUAGGUGUCUUCAAUAUUGAACCUUUCACAAUAUUCAUAUUUUCUGAGAUACUGAAUUUGGAAUUUUCCUUAGUUGUCAGUUAUAAUCAUCAAAAUAAAAAAAUAAACAUUUAAAAUAUAUCAGUAUGUGUGUAAUUAAUGAAUGAAUAUAAUAUACACGUUUCACUUUUUGAAUGGAAAUAGUGAAAUAAAUAAAUUUUUUGAUGAUAUUCUAAUUAUAUGACCAGCACCUGUAUAAUAACCAAUGGUAUUUAGCAUCCUUAAUUGUGAAGUAUUUUAAUGUAUGUAAAUUAUAUUGCACAAAACAGUGACAUAUACUGCCUAGCAUGGCCUUUUGUGUCAUACAGGUUUUUAUUGACCUAAGGGUGAAUAAUUUUUUUGUUAAGUGAACUAUUUCUUUAUUUCUUCAUACUUAUACCCUAAGUCAACCAAUUACUAUCCAUGCCUGUGUGCACACUUGAAAUUGACAAUGUGUUUUACUUUUAAUAGUAGCUUUAGUCCUGUGGGCUUGUGUUCAAUGAGUGCUGACACGCUCAUGUAGUUCACAUAUGUGUGUGUGUGAUUUGACUUCCUCACUGUGUAAAUUGAAUUGCAUAUUUUUGAUUUCUUUUCUGACCCAGGUAAAUGUAUUCCAGGGCUGUCUCGUAGGCGGUGAAGUGCCGCAUUUAUCUGAUGAUAGAUGGCAAACACUUGCAGGUCACAAUACAAUUCCAGGAGCCCAGGUCUAAAAAAAUCGAAGUGGACCAUAGAUGAUUGAAUUCAGGAGGCCUGAAAUUACUAGUGGUACUAUGCGUGCAUGUAAGCUCCUGUAUGACUCCCAGCAGCACUUUGAUGGUUUCUUGGCUAGAACUGAUCAGAGCCUCCAUGGCUUCAAGCCUGGCUUUUACAUUUCCAUCUGCCCCGGGGAGAGCAAUCAGCUGCCCCCCUGAGCCCUGC